rnacentral:lncRNA from 1 species
UUUAAAAAUACCAUGCUUAGAGCGAGUGGUCAUAGGAUGAUUGGAGACGACAGGAUUGGGAGGUGAUGUUGGGUGAGGAUCUGUGGCACAAGCCGGGUCAAGUGGAGACACGUCAGGGGCACUUGGGCGAGAAGGAGGUAAAGAGGAUGGUUGUGUUUCAGAACAUAUUGCCCCAUCAAUUGGGGAAGAGUGGAGUGGAGUAGGAACAGAGGAAACGGGCAAGUGUUGAACUGGAGUGAUAUAGUGCGGAUCAGGAGGGGAGGAAGUAGACGAAGUCAUGGGAGGCUCGUCCAAUUGGUCCGAAGGUAUACUCUAGUGAGA